UCGCCUGUUUUUACAAAAACAUCGCCUCCUGCAACUAUUUACAUAUAGGAGGUCCAGCCUGCCCAGUGACUAUAAGUUUAACGGCCGCGGUAUUUUGACCGUGCAAAGGUAGCGCAAUCACUUGUCUUUUAAAUAGAGACCUGUAUGAAUGGCCAAACGAGGGCUUAWCUGUCUCCCCCUUCCAGUCAGUGAAAUUGAUCUAUCCGUGCAGAAGCGGGUAUAAAUAUACAAGACGAGAAGACCCUUUGGAGCUUAAGGUACAAAGUUUAACCAUGUUAAACAACUUAUUAAAGAGCAAAAACUUAAUGGAAAAUAAACAUUUACCUUCGGUUGGGGCGACCGCGGAGGAAAAAUCAGCCUCCGAGUGGAACGGGCUAAAUACCUAAAACCAAGAGAGACAUCUSUAAGCCACAGAAAAUCUGACCAAAAAUGAUCCGACACAUAGUCGAUCAACGAACCAAGUUACCCUAGGGAUAACAGCGCAAUCCUCUCCCAGAGUCCAUAUCGACGAGGGGGYUUACGACCUCGAUGUUGGAUCAGGACAUCCUAAUGGUGCAGCCGCUAUUAAGGGUUCGUUUGUUCAACGAUUAAAGUCCUACGUGAUCUGAUUUCAGACCGG
rnacentral:rRNA from 1 species